CCCCACCCCGACUGACCUCAGUGGGUGGGACCCUCGGUGUGGCCAGCGGGGUUAAAGGGCCGUGGGAAGAAAUUUCUCCUUCCAAAUAAUAGAACACCUCCGUUGGAUAGUUUUACGCUGCCGUGGCAGAACGCUUAAACCCUAGCCGACCUCGUCGCGUUCCUUUGCAGUCCUCGCCCCACCGACGGAAACCUCCCGUCUUGAUGUCUUACUGUCUCUGUCCGGCUGCUCAAGGCUAUCUCAUAAUUGAUGCAGCCAGAGUCAUUACUGAUAGAGACACUGGAAGGUCGAGAGUAUUUGGGUUCGUGAACUUUUGACAAUGGUGAAUCAGCAAGCAAUGCUAUGGCUAGCAUGGCUGGUCAGGAAUAACAAGGCUGGAAGUAUCCAUGUAAGCUGCUCUAAUGAUAGUCCCGGUGGUGGGCCUCAAGGUGGUUUCAGUGGUGGUUAUGGCAGUGGCUAUGUGAAGGUUACGGUGGUGGAUCUGCAGAACAGAAUGACUUUGAAGGGGAUUCCAGCAUUUUUCAACGAAUAUAAGAUAUAAUGCUUGCCAUGUAAACAAAUAUCAGCAGCAAUAUCCAUGAUCAAAUUCACGUGGCAAGCAUUAUAUCUUGAUAUUCGUCGAAAAAUGCUUCAAAUUCCCCUGCUGGAAUCCACUUAUGUAGUUUAAUUUGGACCCUACAACAGUAAUUGUGGUUUUUAUGGUGCGAAAAACCACAAUCAGCAUACUUAAAAGAUGGAUAUCCUGUUGUUAGGUGUCAUUUGUCACUGGUAAAUUUCUUCAAGAGAUAAUAUUGAUGGGAA